rnacentral:rRNA from 1 species
UACAGAGGUCCCAAGCGUUGUUCGGAUUCACUGGGCGUAAAGCGCACGUAGGCGGCGAAGCAAGUUGGGUGUGAAAGCCCUGGGCUCAACCCAGGAAGUGCAUUCAAAACUGCUUCGCUUGAAUCUCGGAGGGGGUCAGAGAAUUCCCGGUGUAGAGGUGAAAUUCGUAGAUAUCGGGAGGAAUACCAGUGGCGAAGGCGCUGACCUGGACGAAGAUUGACGCUGAGGUGCGAAAGCGCGGGGAGCAAACAGG